AUGAACGCUAGCGACAGGCCUAACACAUGCAAGUCGAGGGGCAGCACAAGGAGCAAUCUGAGGUGGCGACCGGCGCACGGGUGAGUAGCACGUAUGCAACCUGCCUGUAAGCGGGGAAUAACCCGUUGAAAGACGGACUAAUACCGCAUAAUACUAAAUUACUGCAUGGUAAUUUAUUUAAACAUUUAUGGCUUACAGAUGGGCAUGCGCAUGAUUAGCUAGUUGGAGAGGUAACGGCUCCCCAAGGCAACGAUCAUUAGGGGUUCUGAGAGGAAGGUCCCCCACACUGGUACUGAGACACGGACCAGACUCCUACGGGAGGCAGCAGUGAGGAAUAUUGGUCAAUGGACGAGAGUCUGAACCAGCCAAGUCGCGUGCAGGAAGAAUGUCCCUAUGGAUUGUAAACUGCUUUUGCAGGGGAAUAAAGUGCAUCACGUGUGAUGUUUUGUAUGUACUCUGCGAAUAAGGAUCGGCUAACUCCGUGCCAGCCGCCGC
rnacentral:rRNA from 1 species